UACGUAGGCAGCAAGCGUUGUUCGGAAUUACUGGGCGUAAAGAGUGUGUAGGCGGUGCUCUAAGUCUGUUGUGAAAUCUCCCGGCUUAACCGGGAGGGUGCGGCGGAAACUGGAGUGCUUGAGGGUGGGAGAGGUAAGCGGAAUUCCUGGUGUAGCGGUGAAAUGCGCAGAUAUCAGGAGGAACACCGGUGGCGAAGGCGGAUCUCUGGGCCAUUACUGACGCUGAGGAGCGAAAGCGUGGGGGAGCGAACAGG
rnacentral:rRNA from 1 species